rnacentral:rRNA from 1 species
UACGGGGGGAGCAAACGUUGUUCGGAAUCACUGGGCGUAAAGGGCGUGUAGGCGGCUCUGUAAGUGGUAUGUGAAAUCCGAUGGCUCAACCAUCGAACUGCGUUCCAUACUGCAGAGCUUGAGUACAGCAGAGGAAAAUGGAAUUCCCGGUGUAGCGGUGAAAUGCGUAGAUAUCGGGGAGGAACACCGUUGGCGAAGGCGACUUUCUGGGCUGCUACUGACGCUGAAACGCGAAAGCCAGGGGAGCGAACAGG